rnacentral:rRNA from 1 species
UACGAAGGGGACUAGCGUUGUUCGGAAUUACUGGGCGUAAAGCGCACGUAGGCGGAUUUGUUAGUCAGGGGUGAAAUCCCGGGGCUCAACCCCGGAACUGCCUUUGAUACUGCAAGUCUCGAGUCCGAUAGAGGUGGGUGGAAUUCCUAGUGUAGAGGUGAAAUUCGUAGAUAUUAGGAAGAACACCGGUGGCGAAGGCGGCCCACUGGAUCGGUACUGACGCUGAGGUGCGAAAGCGUGGGGAGCAAACAGG